rnacentral:lncRNA from 1 species
CUCACCGGUGCAAGGAAGAUCCCUCAUUCCAGAACCAGAACUGCGGGUCGCGGUAAUAAAGGUUCCCGUAAAGCAGACUGUUAAGAAGGAUUCAACUGUAUGAAUUCAGAACUUUUCAGCUGGGGAACGAGAGUACCAGUGAGUACAGCUUUACGAGGUAAGCCUGGCCUUGAACUUUCUAAGGAAAUUCAAGACAGUCUAUCAGAAGUAAAGUGGAAAAUAGCUUUAUAAGAUAUGUUUGGCCUUGAACUUUCUCUAGUGUUAGAAGCCCUUUUGUUCCUUUUCACAUGUUAUCAAGUGGUUAAGGCAGGGCGGAUUCUGGAUGAAGUUCAGGACAAUCUAUCAGAAGUAAAGCGGGGAGAGAGAAUAGGAGCAAAGAAAAAAUAUGGUUCACAAAAUAAGUAUACAGGCCUUUCCAAGGGUCUUGAACCCGAGGAAAAGUUUAGGUCAGGUAAGAAUACCUGGGGAGAGAUUAGAAGGAAGGAGAAGGAAAAAGAAAAGAAAAAAGAUCAAUUAGAGGAGCCAGUUCUUAAUAGUUCUGAAAGAAACCCACUUAAAAAUGGGAUUGUGGUAUAUACUGAUGGAUCAAAAACUGGCAUAGGUGCCUAUGUGGCUAAUGGUAAAGUGGUAUCCAAACAAUAUAAUGAAAAUUCACCUCAAGUGGUAGAAUGUUUAGUGGUCUUAGAAGUUUUAAAAACCUUUUUAGAACCCCUUAAUAUUGUGUCAGAUUCCUGUUAUGUGGUUAAUGCAGUAAAUCUUUUAGAAGUGGCUGGAGUGAUUAAGCCUUCCAGUAGAGUUGCCAAUAUUUUUCAGCAAAUACAAUUAGUUUUGUUAUCUAGAAGAUUUCCUGUUUAUAUUACUCAUGUUAGAGCCCAUUCAGGCCUACCUGGCCCCAUGGCUCUGGGAAAUGAUUUGGCAGAUAAGGCCACUAAAGUGGUGGCUGCUGCCCUAUCAUCCCCGGUAGAGGCUGCAAGAAAUUUUCAUAACAAUUUUCAUGUGACGGCUGAAACAUUACGCAGUCGUUUCUCCUUGACAAGAAAAGAAGCCCGUGACAUUGUUACUCAAUGUCAAAGCUGCUGUGAGUUCUUGCCAGUUCCUCAUGUG